CAGUAGCCACGGUAAAACGUAGGUGGCAAGCGUUGUCCGGAACUAUUGGGCGUAAAGGGCUCGCAGGCGGUUUCUUAAGUCUGAUGUGAGAGCCCCCGGCUCAACCGGGGAGGGUCAUUGGAAACUGGGAAACUUGAGUGCAGAAGAGGAGAGUGGAAUUCCACGUGUAGCGGUGAAAUGCGUAGAGAUGUGGAGGAACACCAGUGGCGAAGGCGACUCUCUGGUCUGUAACUGACGCUGAGGAGCGAAAGCGUGGGGAGCGAACAGGAUUAGAUACCCCCGUAGUCCCUGUCUCUUAUAC
rnacentral:rRNA from 1 species